UGCAUUUUCCUGAUUUUCUUUGGCCGAUUGAGUGAAAACAAGGACACGAAUGAGGUUUGCGUGCAGGUAGACGGUCAAGAAAUUGCGGUUUCAGAAAUACUUCGUGAGUUUAUCGGGCCAAAAAACGACCAGUGGAUUGGAAAACCGAAAAUAUUAUUCCUUGUGAAUCAGGAAACGAGCUCAUCUGACUUUAUCGGAUCAGCACAGCCCAAGAUGGAAAUAUCAGCAACAAACCACAGUGGAUGGUUAGUCCAAGUUUUGCACAACAAAGAUGAACUUGAAAAGCUGAUCAAAAUCUUCAAUGGGCAAGAGCUGAAAAAGGAGAAAAGUCUUCAAGAACUGCUCGCACGUCUUCUCAUUUCCGAAUCAAAAGAAAAUAGGGAUUUGCUUAACUCGACGCUCCAGUAUCUACUCAAUUUUCCAGACUGGCCCAGGUCUUACGUUAAACCUAACUUUUCCGUGAAAUAUUCUCAAGAUUCUCGAGAAAAGCACGUACCCUUUGAUAUUCUGGUGGAGGAUUCAGCAACAGAAAAACAAAUUUGGCUUUUGAGUUCAGUCGCAGGAACAGGAAAGACGACAAUCCUCAGGGAAAUGGCUUUUCAACUCGGGAAACUAGAUCCGGAUUUACAAAUUUUACGUAUUUCACUCCCGAGAGUUUCGUUUGGCACUUUGAAGAGGAACGUGACCGAGUUUGAUUUUCUCGCGAAUGCCACUCAUAUUUCGAAAGAGGAAAUCUCAAAGCAGAUAGAAAACAAGCAGUGUGUCGUGAUUCUUGAUGGGUUUGAUGAAAUCCGUCCUGAAAACCAAGAAAAGGUACUAAAAGUAAUCGAAGCUCUAGAUAAGAAGCAGAUUUCCGUUUGGAUCGGAACGAGACCUCACGUAGCAGAAGCAAUCAAA